rnacentral:pre_miRNA from 1 species
CAAGUACUCCCUCCGUUCGGAAUUACUUGUCAUCAAAAUGGAUGUAUCUAGAACUAAAAUACAUCUAGAUACAUCCAUUUCAAUGACAAGUAUUUCCGAACGGAGGGAGUAAUAU